UUUUUAUAGUCCAAUUUUAAUUUUUUAAAUAUGUACAUUGACAGUAACACAGAAAGCACUGAUCUCCAUUUGAAAGAUUUUCUAGAAGUUACCUAACGUGCGUGUAUAAAUAUUUGUUUAUUUUACAGAUUUUAACUUAAAAGAAAUCAUUUAAGACGACUUUCGGUUUUAAUUGACGCGUUAAGAGGUGUUGCGCAAAAUAUUUUUAAAAUUUAUCAACAUUAUAUAUAUAAAUAUAGGUUUAAAAGUUAUUCAUCUUAUUGGUUUAGUCCAUCUUAACUCAACAUCCAAAAAAAAAAAAAAUUUAUUUUCUGUUUAAACCAAAAAGGAGAAAAAAAAUGACGUCUCAAAAUGCAUCUUCUUUUUUUCUUUAAAUUUCAUAGAAUUUUUCUAUUAAUUACGUAUCAACUUUUGCUCAAUCAACUUAAUUAUUUAGGUUUUCCAAGAAAACAAAUAUUUAUUCAAUUUAGAAUCAUCAAAAAAAACGAAUUUUCAAUCAACAUUGAAUUAUUAACAAUAAUCAACGAACGGAAUUCUUCAAUUAACUCCUCCCCUCAACUACUGCUUCGUUUAAAAUCUACAUAUAAUAUUUGAUAUAAUCAACUGUUCUAAAUUGCUUUGAAAUUUUUUUAAUACUUUAGUUUUUUCAAAUUUCUAAAAUUAUGUACAAUUUUUAUUAACAUUUCUCCAUCUGAGAAACUAAUGUUUUGAUGCGUUCAUAAGAAAAAUGUGGAAAUUCAAAACGACUAUUCAGAUCAAUCAACGCCGCAUUGUCAGCAAUCAAUGAAAUGAUCUUUAAGGAACGUUCCUUGCCUUUGUGCUUUUAAAACUUUAUAAUAUGGAGAUAUUUAAGAUUUAUGCAUCAAUCAACAUAUCAUUGACUUAGUCCGUUAAAUCUCAACUAAUUCAUUAUCAAUUACAAUCAAUGAAAAUACAAUCCUUAUGGAAGAAUCAACAAUCAACUUUCCUAGCAGAAGAAUCUACAAUCAACUUUCCUAGCAGAAGAAUCUGCAAUCAACUUUCCUAGCGGAAAAGUCUUCAAUCAACUUACCUAACGGAAUAAAGCUCAAGAAGUUUUCUGCAACAAACGAAGAGCAUCAAAAAUUGUUCUGGCCAAAUAAUGUGCAGUAACUUUUUUCAAAUUAAUUUAAAAGAAAGCCAAACAUCUCUUUAAAAGUUGAAAGAAUUUAUCAAUUGAUAUUGGAUGAAGGGAAAGAUUUGCGAGAUUUUUUUUUUUUUCAACUAAAUCACUCAAAAAUCUGUGAUUGCAAUACUAACGUUACCAAAUCAUAACAGGGCGCGUGCAGAAGUGUUACCCAUAAAGAAUUGACAAUUGUUAAUUCAGUCUAAGCUAUCGGUGCGUUUAAAAUGAAUUAAAUGAGAAAUUGGAGUAUUAUAUAAGUCUGCCAAAUUCAUCUUCAAAGUGGUAUUGCACCGAUUAAUACAAGGCAUGUCGCCUAACCUACAAACGAGAAGUAUUCUCUACCUCAAUACAUAGGGCAUUAUUGAUUCAGGCCGCAUAUAAUGACAACAGCUAUGACAACAAUAACAACGGGCAACAAUCGCAGUGACAACCAAUCCAGCAACACCAGCAAUGACUUCAAUAACAACGUGAAAAAGCUAAAGUGUGGAACAGUUCAAGCUCUACACCAUAUAUGCGUACCAUAUAUGGUACAGAAAAAAUGAAGCUCGUGCGUAUAUAUGUAACUUCCAGGAUGAUUUAAGGUGGACCCACCUUUUAUUAUAUCCAAUGGCAAAAUUUUUUCGGUGGUGUAUGGUUCAACAUGUUCAACAAAAAGAGUGCAAUUUUUUGGCAUAUAUCAACGAAAUUCAAUGUAAAAAGGUGUGUUGGAGCAAAGGUCAGAAUGUAUUGCAAAACGAUUUGAUUGAAAGAUGUUUUGCGGCCAUUCCUCAUUCAUUCUCCUAUUUUCAAAAGGCUUUUAUACAAAAAGAAUAGCGAUGUUCAACAUUUUGACAUACGAUAUCGAUGUCACGACAACCUUAACAUGGCAAGGUGGUCGAAUUUUUACAAUUUUAUGUUGAAUGUCUCGCUUUAGUAAUAACUUGGCAUCAAAUCAUGGUUAACUAACUAUACCAAAUAUGACUCAACUUUAUAAAGAUUCCAAAGAAGAGUGUCUUUAAGAGGAAAAAGAGAUAUGCCAAUUAGUCCUUGCCUUGCCGGCCUGCAAUGUUUUUGUUUCUUUGCUUUGCUAACGUAUUGCAUUCUCAACGUAUUUUUUUUGGAACGUAUACUUUAAACAGCCUAAUCAAAGGUACUCGAAAAUUGCAUCCCAUCAUCAACUUAAGGCAGUGAAAAAAUCAACCAUCAACUUUCCUAGAAGAAAAUUCUGCAAUGAACUUUCCUAGAAGAAAACUACAAUGAACUUUCCUAGAAGAGAACUCUACAAUCAACUUUCCUAGAAGAAAACUGCAAUGAACUUUCCUAGAAGAAAAUUCUGCAAUCAACUUUCCUAGAAGAGAACU